ensembl:lncRNA
AAGUCAAAGACUGAAAUUCGUUCAGCUCCUGAAAAAUACAGGUUUUCAAAUUUGUUAUUAACUAGAAUACAUGUUAGAACAAAACUAUGGUCUGUCGCUGACAAGGUCACGUUCAGUUUUGCGCGCUUUACGCGGAGGAUGGUUUUCCAACAUGUGGUUUCAUCCAGGUUAGCUAAACAGACGAAGCAGCUAUGACGUUAAAUGCUUUGGAUUGUGUAACAGUUUGGAUCGACGGAAUUCAAAGCCGGUGGGUGGGAUGCUGGCCGCUGCCUCUGUUAUUGUUAACCACUGAAGGAUUUCAAAUGGAGUGGGGAACAGUACGGACUGGCUUGUGGAAAAAGUGGGCUUGGUGUGGAUUGAGGAGGAACCGAUUUGACUGCGUGGAGAAAUCGAGACUCAUCAGACCAGGCAACAUUCUUCCAGUCUUCAACUGUCCAAUUUUGACACUGCCAGCGAACACUCAGCAAGGUGCUCCCUCCAUGACCAAGAGAGGAACCCAUGGACAUCCAAGUUCCAGUCAACUUAUCCCUGCACUGAAGCACCUUCUCGUCUUUCGGGUUCGAACCUUUUCUGCUGAAUGUAUUUUAUUCAGUUUUCAAUCG